UCUGCUUCUAGACAUGGUGGCUCUCUAAUAAAAGACCCGUAGAGAAAUCGACUUGCUUUAUAAUUUCACCAAAAAAAAUCAAAUCACUCACACCACCCACCAGGACUCAAACUCAUAAAUUUUUUAAGACGAAACCCCCAUCCAGAAUCUAUGGGCUUGUUUCAGACGAGGAAGAGCAUCUAUUUGAUUUUGCUUGUAGCAUGUUUAGCAAUUCAAGAAACCAGCAGAGGUGAAGCAAUACGGACAAUUCCCUUCCGAUUUCAACAAGGUGAUAAGAAAACAUUUGCAACACUGGGAGUGGUAUGCAAGUGUUGUGAUAGCGCUGAAGAAUCAUGUACAUCUUCGUGGAACGGAUCAUGCUCCAAACUUCAUUGUCUUCCUUGGAAAUUUCAAUAACAUAUUUCGAUAUAUAUAUGAUAUAUGUAUAGUUUUGAUUCAGUUGUAAUGAUAUACUCCAUGUUUAUAUGCUGACUUCUUGUCUAUUUUUUCAAA